rnacentral:misc_RNA from 1 species
AUAUAUCAACCCUCUUUUGCUUUUUUGCAUGUCGAGUGUUGGAUGUGGGGGUUUUUGCUGGACUCUCUCUCCUUGAGGUCAGCUCUCCUAAAAUACAUUAGCAAAACAAUUUGUUUACUGCUCAUUGGUGUGAUAACUAUCUACGCUAUUGGCGGUAUAAAGCACAGUUUAGCUUCUAACAGUCCAUUAACUUGGACAAUCUUUUAUCA